CAAGUGCUCCAGUGAGGGCUGUUUUGGAGGAGAUGGAUGGAGGAGAGGGAAGGUGGGGCUGGCUGUGCAGCACGGGGCAGGUGUCCAUACAGCUGGGGGGCUGUGCUGUGAGAGGGGCACUCGGUUUUUGGGGUUCAGCCUGAACCUCCUGGACAUGGAGAGUUCUGUUUCUCCGCUGGUAACAUGGGAUGUAUCAAAAAUCACCUCCCGGCAAUUGUAGAAAUGUUCUUGUUGUAGAAGUGAGUAUCUGAACUUAGUGGAGGGAGCCAGUUUUCCUGUUACUUUAAAAAAAAACCCAAACUGGUUUAAUAUUAAACAAGAAAAACCUAAGUCUGCUUCUGCCUAGAUAGGUGGCUUGCCAAAUUUCUUGUUUGAUUCAGCAAACCUGGGAGGUGUGAGGAGGAUGAUUCUCCUCAGACCAGUCUUGCUGUGGAUCCCCAGGAGUUGCAAUGCAAGAAGCAGAUGUCACUUCCCUCUGUGAUUUGAUAAGUCUUAAGUGACAAGGGUUUACCCGCUGGUCUCUAGCGGAGCAGCAAAAAUGCAAGUUUCAGCUUUGGCUUGGAACUGUAACACAAGAAGGAUGAGAAAUAAUUGGUCUGCAAUCCAUUAUCCAGGUAUUGUUUGAGUUAAGGUUGACUUUUAAACUUAAGCAGCUUUCACAUUUGA